GAUUUCUGGCUUGGUUCGCCUAGCCCGCCACGGUAACGUGUGUGAGUGCUGGGUCGUGCCUGCCAUCUUUCCAGAGAACAUGCCUACCCUUAACUGGGCCGGGCAUGCGAUCUGGAUCUUUUACUUUGAAAAAAUUAGAGUGUUUAAAGCAGGCUUUUGCUAUGAAUACAUUAGCAUGGAAUAAUAAUCUAGGACUUCGGUUCUAUUUUGUUGGUUUCUAGGACUGAAGUAAUGAUUGAUAGGGAUAGUUGGGGGUGCUAGUAUUCAGCGGCCAGAGGUGAAAUUCUCGGAUUCGCUGAAGACUAACUUAUGCGAAAGCAUU
rnacentral:rRNA from 1 species